AUUGAACGCUGGCGGCAGGCCUAACACAUGCAAGUCGAACGCGUGGCGGACGGGUGAGUAAUGUCUGGGAAACUGCCUGAUGGAGGGGGAUAACUACUGGAAACGGUAGCUAUUACCGCAUACCAUCAGAUGUGCCCAGAUGGGAUUCGCUUGUUGGUUGGGUAACGGCUCACCCAGGCCACGAUCCCUAGCUGGUCUGAGAGGAUGACCAGCCACACUGUAACUGAGACACGGUCCAGACCCCUACGGGAGGCAGCAGUGGGGAAUAGUGCAUAAUGGGCGCAAGCUUGAUGCGGACCUGCCGCGUGUAUGAAGAGGGCCUUCGGGUUGUAAAGUUCUUUCAGCGGGGAGGCGUUACUCGAUGAAGAAGCACCGGCUAACUCCGUGCCAGCAGCCGCGGUAAUUC
rnacentral:rRNA from 1 species